AUGGCCACAUCAUAUUGAAACACUGGUUCCUGUAUGAUCCCAGAAGUUAAGCAACAUCAAGCCUGGUCAGUACUUAGAUGGGUAACCACUUGGAAAUAAUAUCAGGUGCUGUAAG